rnacentral:lncRNA from 1 species
GCACUAGGAAACCCUAACCCUAACCCUAGCCGCACCCUUCUACCUUCACCUCUCUCCUCUACCCCGUCGCGCGCCUCCCGGUCGUCGCCGAUCGAGCCCCGGCCGGCCAGCAGCAGCCGCAACCAGCUUCUCCUUCAUCUCCUCCCUCUUCACCUCUCUCUCUCUCCUUCUCGGGUUGGAGCCCAGGCCGAGGUUGCAUUGCUUCCCUAUUCCUUGCCGGCGUCACCCUGACCCCGUCGGAGCCUCCCCCGGCCGGUCGCUACCGCCUGCCGCCGUCGUCGAGCACGGCAGUUGCAUUACUGUCACCUUGUAGCCUGCUAGAUGCAGCUCGGCCGAGGAAGCCCUAGCUUCUUGGCCGGUGCGCCACCACCUCCUUAGCUCUAUCCCGCCGCCUCCCUCGAAGCCUCGAACAUCACCCCGACCUGUCGCCGCCGCCCCUGCGGGCCGCCGCCGCUGCCUCUGUCAACCGCG